rnacentral:rRNA from 1 species
UACAGAGGGUGCGAGCGUUGUCCGGAAUCACUGGGCGUAAAGGGCGCGUAGGCGGCUUGAUAAGCGUGCGGUGAAAGCCCGGGGCUCAACCCCGGGUCGGCCGUGCGAACUGUCGAGCUGGAGCACUGUAGAGGCAGGUGGAAUUCCGGGUGUAGCGGUGGAAUGCGUAGAGAUCCGGAAGAACACCGGUGGCGAAGGCGGCCUGCUGGGCAGUGGCUGGACGCUGAGGAGCGAAAGCGUGGGGAGCGAACAGG